AGAGUUUGAUCCUGGCUCAGGAUGAACGCUGGCGGCGUGCUUAACACAUGCAAGUCGAACGAACCUUCGGGUUAGUGGCGGACGGGUGAGUAACGCGUGGGAAUCUGCCCUCAGGAGGGGGAUAACGGCUGGAAACGGCCGCUAAUACCCCAUAUGCCGAGAGGUGAAAUGAAUUUCGCCUGAGGAUGAGCCCGCGUCUGAUUAGCUAGUUGGUGAGGUAAGAGCUCACCAAGGCAUCGAUCAGUAGCUGGUCUGAGAGGAUGAUCAGCCACACUGGGACUGAGACACGGCCCAGACUCCUACGGGAGGCAGCAGUGGGGAAUUUUCCGCAAUGGGCGAAAGCCUGACGGAGCAACGCCGCGUGAGGGAUGAAGGCCUCUGGGCUGUAAACCUCUUUUCUCAAGGAAGAAGAUCUGACGGUACUUGAGGAAUAAGCCACGGCUAAUUCCGUGCCAGCAGCCGCGGUAAUACGGGAGUGGCAAGCGUUAUCCGGAAUUAUUGGGCGUAAAGCGUCCGCAGGCGGCCCUUCAAGUCUGCUGUUAAAACGUGGAGCUUAACUCCAUCAUGGCAGUGGAAACUGUUGGGCUUGAGUGUGGUAGGGGCAGAGGGAAUUCCCGGUGUAGCGGUGAAAUGCGUAGAUAUCGGGAAGAACACCAGUGGCGAAGGCGCUCUGCUGGGCCAUAACUGACGCUCAUGGACGAAAGCCAGGGGAGCGAAAGGGAUUAGAUACCCCUGUAGUCCUGGCCGUAAACGAUGAACACUAGGUGUCGGGGGAAUCGACCCCCUCGGUGUCGUAGCCAACGCGUUAAGUGUUCCGCCUGGGGAGUACGCACGCAAGUGUGAAACUCAAAGGAAUUGACGGGGGCCCGCACAAGCGGUGGAGUAUGUGGUUUAAUUCGAUGCAACGCGAAGAACCUUACCAGGGUUUGACAUCCUGCGAAUCUUUUGGAAACGAGAGAGUGCCUUCGGGAACGCAGUGACAGGUGGUGCAUGGCUGUCGUCAGCUCGUGUCGUGAGAUGUUGGGUUAAGUCCCGCAACGAGCGCAACCCACGUCUUUAGUUGCCAGCAUUUAGUUGGGCACUCUAGAGAGACCGCCGGUGAUAAACCGGAGGAAGGUGUGGAUGACGUCAAGUCAUCAUGCCCCUUACAUCCUGGGCUACACACGUACUACAAUGCUACGGACAAAGAGCAGCAAGUUCGCGAGGACAAGCAAAUCUCAUAAACCGUGGCUCAGUUCAGAUCGUAGGCUGCAACUCGCCUACGUGAAGGAGGAAUCGCUAGUAAUCGCAGGUCAGCAUACUGCGGUGAAUACGUUCCCGGGCCUUGUACACACCGCCCGUCACACCAUGGAAGUUGGCCACGCCCGAAGCCGUUACUCCAACCCUUGUGGAGGAGGACGUCGAAGGUGGGGCUGAUGACUGGGGUGAAGUCGUAACAAGGUAGCCGUACCGGAAGGUGCGGCUGGAUCACCUCCUAA
rnacentral:rRNA from 1 species